AGAGUAAUGUAAUACAAGUAAGUGUUGAAAAUAAGCACCUUUAUGAUAGUGCCUAUUUUAGGAUUAAGUUCAUAUUAUUUUAUUUUUGUAUUUCCUUUGAUUUGCAGUCCAUGUGCUAAACAUUACAUACUUUUUAGUGGAAGUAUCUUCAAAGAAUGUUGAAACAAACCAUUUUUAUUAUGAGUGUGACACUCUCCUCUUUCCUUCUUGUUUUCCCUUCCCCUUCGAAGGAUCCAUGCCAGACGUGUGGAACUCCAAAUGGGGGGGGGGUGGGUGGUGUUGGUGUCCAAAUUCUGCUGCAAUGCUUCCUGUAUGUGUGAGGACCUUUUUUCUGUCUUAGUCCUUGUCCACACACAUCAACACCACAAGAAAAGGAGGGAAGAGGAGAAGGAGUUCAUUGAGUACUUCAAAAUUUGACUUCUUUAGGACCUGAGGGUUAUGUGACCAUCCUCAUUCAAAUGUACAGCAUGCCAUCUAUUAGUUCCCCACCAGGUACAGAGAGAUUCCAAGCAUCUUUCUGUAAAACUUAUUAAGACUAGUCCCCAGAAUGUAUACAUUCUUCUAAGCCCUUCUUCCAAGAAUCUGAUCACUCAGACCUUGCUAUUCAGCAGGUGGACCAAGAUCAGUUUUAUUUUUUUUCUUUUUGUUUACCAAUUAUAUUUAUGUUGGAGGCUUCAGUAAAUAUUGAAUUCAUGCCUUGCAUAAGCUGUAUGAAUAUCCUAGGAUAAUUCAAAAUCCAUGAUCUGAAUGAAUGGUUUGGUAAGCAUUCAUGAUGACUAAGAUCCAACCCCAAUUUGUUCACCAUGGGCAGAAACUUUCUGAUCUAACACUCCCCCUUGCUCCAUCUCUCAUUCUCCAUUUACUGAACUAUGGAACUCAUGUCUGAAGAGAGGGCUGGCUGUGGGAGAGGUGAGGAGGCCCUCCUCUGCCCUUUUUGGCACUCUGACACACAGUUGUAUGUAAGCUUUGGAGAAUGCUACACCACUCUUUUUGGUUUCCUGUGGGGAGCAAUGAGAAGGUGUAGGGUUCAAUCAAAACCUGUCAUGGAAUAAAAGACACGUUACUUUCUUACUUCUGACAUUAUGCAACUCCUGCAUCAUGAGUUUUAGGGGCAUUUGAAUUAAAAUGAGGUACUUCAUAUAUAGAGAUAUUAGAGAAAUAAAAAAUAAUGAUAUUACAAUCUGUAACAAAUUCACACAAAGGAAAAAUAACAUAAAUCAAGAGAAAGGUAAUAGUAAUAAAUAUUCUGAAAAUGUCCAUUGGGAUUCCAUUUCCAGAUAUUCUGCUAAUAAACAUAAAAACAAGGAUUUGUAUUAUAACCAUCAGGAAAGAGUCUAUUGGAAUUGAAGCAAGAGAAGAGGAAGAGAGAUUUUUUGGCUGCAGCUAAGCAAUCACAUGGUGGAGUGGGGUGUUGCAUCUACCAUAUGAAAACAGUUCAGGUCUGUCCCUGAAAGCCUGCCCAUGGGGCAAGGCCAUAUUGGUGGCCUCUUUGUGCAGCUUCUGUACCAAGGAAGGCCAAUUAUCAUAGUAUUGAAUGAUACCACCCAUGGGGCAUCAUCCAAUGUCUUGCAAUUGCCAGAGUCCCAAGCAUACAAGAAGAACAUAACAUUGUAAAAAUAUAAUGAAGGAUGUGUGGCAGAGGUGUAGAAAUGUGCAAAUGUAAGAGAGAAGAGUGCACAUUGUGGCAGAGAGAAAGAGAGAAGAGAGGGAGAGGGGGCUAAUGUGAGUGCCAUGUGCAAUUUGCAGGAGUUGUCAGCCACAUGUUCCAAACUUUGCAGCCUCUGAGUGUGAGUUGAUUCACUUCAGUCAUUUACACCUGCCCAGCACCCCCCCCCCC
rnacentral:lncRNA from 1 species